rnacentral:misc_RNA from 1 species
AACGAGGCCGACCUGCGGCUGAGUUACCUGCGGAAGGAUCAUUAAAAAAUAGGUCCUUGUGACCUCAGUGUGAACAGCUGAACUGCUGUAAGUCAGGAUGAAUUUCGUAAGCAUUCCGCACUGGUUCGUAGAGGCCUGGUUGAGGCUGCUGCUGUCAUAGGAUGAAUUUCUCAGCAUUUUGCGUAGUUCCUUCACCUCAAGCAGCAGUCAUAACGGGCAGGCAUCGCGGCUGCUAUAUAA